GAAAGCUUUUCAGUUGGGGAGAGGGUGUGGGGUCAUGAUUCGGUUUCAAUAAAGAUCUCUCACAGCAGAGUUCAGGGUCCAAAACUCUUGGUUUUAACCAAGAGAAUCAACAAAGGACACUGCCACAAGACCUAACAGAAGUCACUGCCACCUCCCUGCCAUGAUUUCCCGGGAGUGAUUCUAAAUGGAGCCCUGGACCUGCUGGAAAGACCAUGAUGUUGCCUCUCGGAACCCAGCCACCAUGCUGUGAGGAAGCCCAAAGGAGAACACACAGAGAGACCCUGCAGAGAGGCCAUAAACUGGGGUUCCCACAGGUAGCUGAGGUUCCAGCCAACAGCCAGCAUCAAUUGCCAGAUGUGGGAGUUGUCAAAUUACCCGCAAAUGUUGAAUCUGCCCAGAUGAAGCCACAGCUAUCAUGGAGUGGGGACAAGCUGAACCAACUGGGCUCCGUCCUAAUUCCAGCCCACAGAAUCAG
rnacentral:lncRNA from 10 species